CGACGCCUACGGGGGGCAGCAGUGGGGAAUAUUGGGCAAUGGGCGCAAGCCUGACCCAGCAACGCCGCGUGAAGGAAGAAGGCUUUCGGGUUGUAAACUUCUUUUCUCAGGGACGAAGCAAGUGACGGUACCUGAGGAAUAAGCCACGGCUAACUACGUGCCAGCAGCCGCGGUAAUACGUAGGUGGCAAGCGUUAUCCGGAUUUACUGGGUGUAAAGGGCGUGUAGGCGGGACUGCAAGUCAGAUGUGAAAACCAUGGGCUCAACCUAUGGCCUGCAUUUGAAACUGUCCGGCUGGAGUGCAGG
rnacentral:rRNA from 1 species